GGGGAGGCCAUAGCUCAGGGAUAGGGUAUCAGCUCUGCUUGCAGGAAGUCCCAGGUUCAAUCCCUGGCCUCUCCA